rnacentral:rRNA from 1 species
CCUACGGGUGGCAGCAGUGAGGAAUUUUGGUCAAUGGACGAGAGCCUGAACCAGCCAAGCAGCGUGAAGGAGGACUGUCCUAUGGGUUUUAAACUUCUUUUAUGUGGGAAUAAAAUGUUGCACGUGUGUGCUUUUGUAUGUAUCUUAUGAUUCAGGAUCGGCUAACGCCGUGCCAGCCGCCGCGGUAAUACGGUGGAUCCGAGCGUUGUCCGGAUAUGUUGGGUUUAAAGGGAGAGUAGGUGGAUUGUUAAGUCAGUUGUGAAAGUGUGCGGCUCAACCGGAAAAUUGCAGUUGAAACUGGCAGUCUAGAGUACAGUAGAGGUGGGCGGAAUUCGAGGUGUAGCGGUGAAAUGCUUAGAUAUCGCGAAGAACUCCGAUUGCGAAGGCAGUUCACUGGACUGCAACUGACACUGAGGCACGAAAGUGUGGGUAUCAAACAGGAUUAGAUACCCCUGUAGUC